rnacentral:sRNA from 1 species
CCAGGGGCUUACGCCCCUGGCUAUGUGCCGUCGCCCCUCCGGGGCU